CAUCUUGGGCUGCAUAUAAAAUAAAAUAUGUAACAAAAAUUAUUUUUAUUAUUUUUUUUAGUAAAACAUUUUAAAAGGGAAACAAACACACAAGACUAGCGGGUUGGACACAUGAUCUAGGCCAUGAGAAGGUCCCACAUAUCUCUGGGCAGCAAUUUGGAUUAAAGGAACUCUGUUGAAAUGGCAAAUUCCUACUACUUCUCACAGUAUAGCAGGUAGAACUGUUAUUCUCUCUUGUUACUUCCUGAUGUUUGAACUCAGUCCCUCAUUCCUCUACCAUUGCUUCUCGGUGUCACCCAGGGCUAUACAUAUGGCAACUGCACACACAGUCCUACUUGCAGAUGGGGCUUAGGCUAAAUGCUAGGCUUUGUGGCAUUUCUGUGCUAAUCUCUGAAGGCUUUUGGAUACACCCCUGAGGCAGUGCACUUCUAGAACCCCUGCUUGGCCAGACAGAAGUUUGGCUUCCCUGGGGUUAAAUCCCAAGAAGAUUUCAGUGGUAGUUAAGUUGGAUGUAGGCAGGUGGAAGUGUACAGCACUGCAAAAUGUAACUCCAUUGCCUCUUGGUUUUACUAAUGCCUCAAAGGAGGGCUGGCUCAUUCUAAGUGCAGUGCAAUAUCUAAGUAGAAAAAGAGAUGUUUGGAAAAAUCAUUCAUUAUAUUUUUCAGAAUAAAGCAAUCACAUCUUCCUUAGCAGAGAAUGCAAAGAAAGCUGUAAAUAUCACAGCUGCUCACUGGCAACUAGGAAAAAAAAAGAGUCAAAUUCAAAGCUUGCCACUUCUAUUCACAGUGAAUGACUUAGGAGUCAAAAGAAGAACAGGGUGUGUACAGUCUGAAGAGAAUAUUGCUGGUAAAAUUCUAAGGAUGCCUCCUAAAACUGGCAAUUGCUCACCAUGUCAGCUGGAAUAAAGUUUGUCACAUUGUAUGUCCAGAUGCAAUAUGGUGAUAUAUGCAAUUUCAGUCACUCUUUCCAAAUUGUGGGCUUUAUCUGAAAUGCUCUCAUACCCCAAACCGUCUGCAUUUUCAUUAAAAGAAUGAAUGUUCCUGUCAUCAUCUUGGUAGGAACGCCAACAGGAAAUAAGCUACCUCUAAAUGAAAAGAUGCAUUUUAUUGUUUGCAAAGCUGGGGAAAUAUGAAUCAAACUUACAACUUGGCUGGCAGGUGGUUUGUUUGGAGUAUGGAAUUAGUGCCUUUGUAGGGGUCUGACAAAUAGCCUGGGGUCUCAGACAAUGCACUGGCAUCCUGGUGGCUGCAUGAUCUUACAGAGAGCAUUAACUUCUCUGUGCCUCAGUUUCUUCAUCAGUAAAACUGUGAUAAUCAUUUUCUGCUGGAGUUUCCAGCUAAUAGGCUUGUUAUGCCCUGCAAAGCACUCAGAGAUCUCCAUCUGGAACAAACUACAGAAGUGCAAGUAUUAUUGCUAUUAGAAGUCCAUUACAGCUCUGUUUUGCUUUGUUCGUACUGGCCCUUUGGUACGUGCAGCUAGACAGCUCCUAAUGUUAUCUUGAUGCACAAAGCACUUUUUGUGUGAGGUUUGACUCACACUAAAAUGCCAGUUAGAAUUUUGUCCUCGGGAACUCACUGGAGCUUGGCUUACAGAAUCUGAAAAUUAAAUCAACCAAAAUAGGUCAAACACAAAACUAUAUGUCCUUAUGUGUCCUCUUGUCCUCUUUAGCAGUAUAGCGCAUAGUUGUUGUUUUCUUAUCUGUAAAGUUUGGGCCUGUUUUGUUCCUCAGCCAGCUUUGCUACUGAUAUCUUGGUUACAUUUUGAAUACCUGCUCUUGAGAAUUUUCUGUUCCCAUUAAAUAUAGUUUAGAAGGACACGCUCAUCUGUUAGUGGUCCAGAAAUAACGUGCUGAAUGCACCAGCAGCUGAUGCGACUGAACGCGAUACAAAAGUGUAUCAUUCUGUUAGAGUUUGUUGGUAGGCAUCAUUAUGGAAAUGUUUUUGAGCCUUAAAAAAGGGAAUAGUGUAUCGGAAAUUGAAUCAAACGUUAACAGAAGCUGCAGUUUGUGGUUUACUUUUCCCUCGUAGCUAGUUCUUUAGGAAUUAUUCCUGUUCACAUAAUCCUUUAAGUUAAUGUAUUUAUUCCGUGCGUGCUUUAUAAUUUCUAUUCAUUCAUAUGUCAAGUAGCUGAAGGUGCUGCUUCAAUUAGUAUUUACUUCAGUGUUAUACUGUUUUGAAUUGGUUGUUUGUUACAGUCACAAUGCAGUGAAUAAACGUGUUAAUAUUUGAAGUGGGAAGGGAGGUAAAAUGGGAAACCGUCUGCUCCAGUCGCGGCCCAGCUUUCUGGUUACAACAUAUUAUAAUUUAUUUAAACCCAAUCAAUACUUAAUCUGGAGUUUAAAUUCCGCUAAAGAUCUGUGGCAUAGCUAAAAGCAGCUGAUGCCAAAGAAAAAAAAUUUCUUCAGGCUGUGAUUCUGAUGAAUUUAUAAUGCGCUCUAAGGGUGAUGCAUUGACCUAAAUUCACAGAAGCGCUGCAAUUCGUAUUUAUUAUUGUGAAAGGUGUCCUACCAACACUUUUCUUCUUCUGAAUGUUGAGAGCCUGUGUGAGAAAGAUGGGCGGCUGCAGAGGAAGGAGCUGCACGCACAGCCCGGGAGGGUGGGAUGGGACUGAGCGCGGCCCUGUGCCGCACACCGGGCGGUGAGUCACUGUGACCCCGAGAUUCAAGGCAGGAAUUAAUUCAGCACUGCAAAAAUCUGGCAAAUGUUUGAAGCCAGCAGUGAAAGCAGACUUCCUGAGAGGUGUGUGUUUGUGGUGACAAUUUGGAUUUAUUUUGCUGGCAAUGCAAAAGACAUUGUUACGGCAGGAAGAAGACAGUUGUGUUAAAAACUGCUUCUCUUUUUUAGUUCUCCCCCCCCCCCAGCCUUUCUGGGGAAAUAGAUUGUGAUCUCUGCGGGGUUUGGUUUUCUCUGUACAGCUCUUUAAACUCCCCCAGGCACAGCCAUCUCAGGGCAGGGCCCACGGGCAGCUCCUACCAGCACUGCAGGGAUGUGCACACACCAUUCUCUUGUAAGGUCUGGGCAACCUCAUAUUUCCCAGCACAUUUUGGCAAGCUUUUACUCAGAGUGGUCCAACAGCUUUUCAUAGUAAGUGAAUGACUUCCCAGUGACCUGAGCCCUCUUCCAAGCCUCCUUUGUCACCCUGACAGCUUGCAGUCAUGCUUUUCUGAUCUUGUGCAAAGCUAUAUGUUUUACCAGAUCUGUAACUGCAGGAGACUUGGUUGUUCUGAAAAUUAACUGGAUGAAUAAGGGAAAUGUAUAGUGGAUAAAGGCUGACAAUCAUCCCCACUUCUUUUAUGAUACAAUGCCCUGCCCUCAUGAGAAGGGAGAAGAGCUCAAUUCUCCCUCCUAAUUGAUAGGUGCAUACUUGUCAGAUGUGGUUUCCCCAGGCAGUCUGUAAGGCAGGACUCACCCCCACACACCGUUCAUCCCCAGUCCCUCACCUGUGUGCUUCUGGGGCAUCACAUCAGACACUCUCCCAGCAUGUGUCUUCUUGCUCUAUUUUGUGCCCGCCUCUGCCCAUAUUGCUGCUGUAGUGGUUUAUGCCAGAAUAAAUAUGGGCUAGCAUAAAUCCUCAGGCUUGGAAGGCAUUAGCCUGCCUUUACUGUAGCACAAUCGACAGCUGUACCUGGCACCACGACCUCAUUGCACCCCAGCGUGGCAGCAUCCAGAGCCUUGAUGCAUUGGAGGAGCAGAGCCACAUGCUUGCUGAGGUUUGUUCCUCUGGGCUGGCCCUGAGGAUGAGAACAGCAUGCAAACACAGCUUCUCAGCAGGAGCAACUAUUAGUUUCAGCUUUAACCUUUACUUAAAAAUAUGAAGCUGCUGAGCAAAAAUGCAAAGGCUUAGUGUUCAAACUCACGCCUAACUCAGAGAGCUGGGUUCCUAGAACCAACUGUGAAUUUCAGUUUAGCAGCAAGGAAGUUUAUGUUCAACUUCAGUUUUUCUUCCAGCUAUAAUGCUCAAAGGGAGUACUUCAGUAUCUGUCUUGCUUUUUGUUAGGGAGAUGAAACAAAACAAAACACCAUUUGUCAUAAUUCUUUGGGAUUGCUAUUAUGGCCAGGAGAAAAGCGGGCUUCUGCUAGUUCAUGUACGAGUCAAAAGAAAGGCAUAUUCCUUUCCCCACAGGAUCCCAAGUGGAAGAGUUGGUGGAUAGGUAAGAUAAAAAUGGGUAUAGAUUGUGAGAGACAGGCUGACAAAAAAAAGUGCGUGCAGUUUUUUCACUAUUCUAGAGCAGUAAUUGUACUUUGCUUACAUACCUAAGCAUGUUUAGGUGGCAAUUUUCUUUCCUUGUAACAGAAGAGGUGACUUUCAAGAGAAUAAUCUGAAGGAGGUUGUGGUGGAUGACUGUUUUCCUUGUUGUUGGUUUUUUUUGUUUGUUUGUUUUAUUUUGUUUCUUUAAAUUCAGAAUGUUUUUUACCAGGUCAACAGGCCAAUUUCUCUCCAUUGUUCACAAAGCUAUUGGGUAUUUUUUUUUCCUUCCCACUGUGCCUUGAAAAAACAACUUCACUUAAGUUCAUGUGUGAAACCUUUUGCACAACAGAAGUGGUUUCUUGUGGCCAGUAAGACUAAAUGUUCUGAGCAUUCCAGGAAGCAUAUAAAUAGACUGAUACUCUUCCUAAGGUUAUAGAGCAUUAUUUCUCCCUUUUUUUCUUUAUUUCUCCUCCUGUCCUACUCCCCUACCUUCAGUUACGCUCUCUCCAUCUAGGCAAAGACCAAACAAAGUGCAGUGUUUGAAAAUCCUGACCAUCAUUUUCCAUUUUACUUGGGUUUUCCUCAGUUACAUGUUCUGAAUAGAAAUUGUUCGAGUAAAUGCAGCACAGUAAAUUAUCUUAAAUUACUUCUUAUAGUCCAGACUAGUAUUAUAACAUGAAAAUUGUUACUUGGAGUCUCCCACGCCCCUGGCUGCUGCAGACCUGUGUCUCCAGGCUGGGGAGAAAUGGAUCACAGUACUUAUCCAGCAGAGCCUGCAGGCCAAUCCACAAUGUGGAAAGUGGAGUUCACAUAAAGGAGGUCUCUUAUCCUUUCCUCUCAAUCCUGCUAGAUACAGCAAAGCUGUCACAAUGGUCAAAUAUAAUUAAAAUGGUGAUCUGCCACUGAAGGGUAGGCCAAUGUCUAUGCAGAAACCAGAUGAGGAAUUAUUCAAGCCAAAAACAUUAAAUCUCAGCUCAUCCGUGGUUACCAUAAAACAGCCAUCCUGUUCCUUUGAUCUAUGAUGAAUUUGAAUGUGUGUUAAUAAGACAUAUAUGCUGGGCAUCAACAUCAUCUUCUGUUGAACGAAGGUAAACACUGCAUUCGUCUCUGUAAAAUAUACUUCAGUAGUUGGGAAGAAAGUGGAGAUUCAUUAUUUUUGCAGUUGUAGAAGACAUUUAGCAGCUGUGUUUAUACUGGCAGACAAUUUGGAUAUUAGGUGGCAGGACAGAGAACUGCAGAUGCACGAUAUCGUGCAGACAUUGUGCACUUACAGCACAUUUCCAGGGAAACAUGUUAUUUUAUAUUUCCCUUGGUGUCAUUAAUCACAUUUCAUGAUGUAUCUCACUAUUUCAACUCAUUCCCCUAGAUUCAUUCAUUUUUUUGGCCUGUUUAUUUAAUAGUUAUUGAGCUCCAUUUCAACAAAUUCCAUCUUAACCACAGAUAAUAAAGUUCCUUUUGCUUCAGGGGAGAAAAUUAAGAUGGCCCUGUACUGAUUUCAGGGACUACCUGUAAUAGUCAGCAUGUCUGCUGCAUCAGAAAGAUACUUUGUUUGCCUUUGGUCAGAAAAAUGUUCAUGCUGUUCUUUGCAACUUAAAAAUUAAACUCAUUUCCUGAAAGUAAAAAUAUGAUUCUUAUCUUGAACUAUAAAGGAAAACAGCUGCACUUUAUUCUGUUCUCGAAGUUCUCUAAUCUCUCUGGAGGCUUUGUUUUGGUUUCACAGGUGAAUCCCUUAAACUGCAGCAGCAAUGAUGGCUCCUCCUUGGCAGAAACAUGCUGAGAGGCAGUUGGGAAUCCCCUGCUCUGGAGCUGCAGCCUGAGGAACCUCAGCGUGUAAGAAGCGUCUCUGAGGCACUCACAUGGUGAUGGUUAUACAUCUCCUGCUUACCCCAACUUAGUGAAAGCUGUCUUCAAGCAAAUAAGACUGGCAGCAAGGCUGGGAGUGCAAUCACCUGCUGGCAUAAUCCCUGGACUCUUCUUAAAGGAAUUCUAAAAAGGGAAACUCAGGAAUGCCUACCUGACUGUCCAGAGAACUGCCAUCCAGAGGAGCAUCCUACAGCAGCACAAGCAUUUCAUCUUCUGGAUUUGUGGAGACAUGUGGGAUUUGUUGAUGCUGAAGGCAGGAGGAAGUCAAGGGAGAAAAAAAGAAUUCUGGGAGAUUUUAAAAACAAAAAUGAUUCUCACUAGGAAACUUGGUAAAACCGAAGAUCCAAAGUGAAACAUCAGGAAACAUCACCAAAAUGAAGCCCGUUGGAUGUUUGCAGCUGUUUCUUUAGUCCUGAUUAACAGGGAUUUUCUGAGAAGAGCUGCACAAGUGCAGUCCCCAUUCAGCGUACAGAUUUUCCAGAGUGAUCUCCAAGUUGUAAUGGACAACCUCUUUCCUGCCAGCAGAGCCCAGAGAGGAAUAAACCAAGACCACCAGCUAAGUCAUUGUGUAAUGUGCUGUGGAUAUGAGCAUCGAAUGCCCUCAGAAAACUGGAGUUGUUAUGAGAAUGGUGCAAAAGAAUCUUAUGAGAAAUAUCCAACAAAAUGUCCACUUCACGAUGUCACUUGCUCCGAGUUUCAAAAAAUCAUUAAAUAUAAUUACGCUAAUUUGGCAAUGACUCAGGACCAAAUCAUCCUUUUGCGGGAAUUACCUACGAAGGAAACUGGACGCUCCAUGGCAUCUGUGUCAUCCUUCCCUCCAGAUGGUGCCUCCAAAUCUGUUCUGAAAUGGCAUGUGCAAAGCAAAUCCAGAGUGCCUAUCAUUCAGCCCUCUGAUGGCAACUCUCAGACAACUCGGGGACAGACAGAACACAAAACCAGAAAUAAGGACUUGCAACCGUGGCUGAAGAUGCCCAGAGAGUCGUGUAUGUAACAGCCAGCGAGAGGCAGAUGACAGCAACAAGAAAUUUCACAGCUCCAAAGAGUGAACGUACCACGGAUUAGUACCGGAGACAGAAAUACUUCUAUGAAAACCAUGAAGGAAGUUCCGGAAUCUAGAGUAACUCUCGGAUGCACAGAACUGGAGACUUAAAAGAUCCUCAGUUCCCCCAGGACCUGAGCAUGUAGAAACGUGGGGGCCUGGCUGUCCUUCUGGUCUGCACGCGUGGCCUCAAGCCCGAAUCCCUACAACAGCAUCUCCACUGGCAGCAAAGCGCUUCUUUGCCCUUUACCACUGAACUGCUGUGGCUUGAUUGUGUGAAACUGAGUUUCAGGAUGCAAGAUACUGUUCAGAUAGUUCUGCAAUACAUUCUUCAGACCCAGCAGCUUUGGCAGGCCCGUGGAUGAUGGAAUAACCAGAUCUCUGCGGCCACCCCUGAAAAACAGAUUCUUUCUUCUGGAUUCCCUGGGAUUCUCUCAGCAGCCAGCCUUGUUUACAGAAGUCAGCGCGGACAGUAACAGCCCUUCACCAAUGAGCCACAGUGGACCCUUUGGGGAAGGCUCCUCACGGUGCUCUGUCAUCUGCUGACAAAGUGGUGCCAGGACCAGAACUUCACAAUGAACUCUGCGGAGAAAAAUCCACAGCAGAUGAAGGAAUCUCGAAGUCAGUGACAGGUAGACUCAGGCUUAAAGUGAGAGGAUCCCCCACGUCACUGGUUUCAACUAGAGGAUACGUCUGUGCUAUGAGAAUACUCAGUAUGAGAAACGUGCUGCGAAACAGAGGCAGCCAGUUGGAGCAGUGCUUCAGACUAAGCUGAGGUCAGUUUUAGAAUCACAGAACACUUCAGGCUGGACAGGAACUCUUGAUGUCACCUCAAUCCACGCCCUGCUCAAAGAAGGUCUCACUACGUCAGAUCGCUCAAGGCUGCAGCCAGUCAAGUUGAACCCUCAAAUGGGGAGCCUCUGCUGAAUGCUGGUUACUGCAAGGUACUGGUUAAACGAAUUCAUAUGCAAAAAUAUUCUUACUUUUUUCUGGAUACAGUUUGAAAUGCUCCACUUUCAGAGUUCAUUCACUUUCUUGGUUGUGUAUGUACUGUCCAAAAAUCAUAUCUAAGAAGAUAGUUGUUUGGUGAUGGGAGGUACAUUUAGGCUUGUAUGAGUCUACAGUGAUAAUAAUCAUCUAACUAGCUUAGAUUGCAAAAGUUAAUCUAGUAAAAUAUUGGGUGAUGUUGUGACUGGCUGGAUAGAUGAGAGGAGAGCAGUGAAUGUUGUCUACCUUGACUUUAGUGAGGCUUUUGACACUAUCUCCCAUAACAUCCUCAUGGUUGAAGUUAGGAGUUGUGGAACAGAUGACUGGACAGUAAGGCAGACUGAGAACUGGCUGAUGGCACAGCACAGAGGGUUAGGAUCAGUAGCGCAAUCCUAGUUGGUGUUUUCACAGGAUCGGUACUGAGUCCAGUCUUGUUGAACAUCUUCAUCAGUAAACUGGAUGAAUGCAUGGACAGCAUCCUCAGCAAGUUGUGUGAUGAUACAAAUCUGGGAGUGGCUGACACACCAGACGGUUGUGCUGUCGUUCAGUGAGACCUGGGCAG
rnacentral:lncRNA from 1 species